UUGCGAUAAUAGCAAAGUCGGCGAAAGCCGGCGGCGCAAAGCUGAGACUCGCGAAGUGCGGCGAGGGUCAGGCUGCCGAA
rnacentral:ncRNA from 1 species